rnacentral:lncRNA from 1 species
ACAGACCUAAAAAACCAUACAGCUAUUACGUUUCGGGGCUAGAAAGUCCACACUUUCCCUAUCAGCAACAACACACUACAGCAGAAUAGCACUUCAUAUUAUUUUUCUUUUCUCUCCGCCGGUAACGCCAUCGGUAAUCGGAGGUAAGGACAACACGAUAGCAGAGAUAGAAAGAGUUUAGCUAUAGAGGGUAAGUCUCUUUACUCAUUCUCGUAGUCUAUGUAUGUGCGUAUUGAGUGAGUAUUUUGAAGUGUAUGAAUGUUAGUAAUGGUGAUACUAAAUAACGCGCCAACUGUUUGUUAAGAUGUCCCUGUGAAUGCUAUAAUCCCUUUUAAAGGUUUUGGAUUGUUUUUAGUGUUUACCAAUGUACCAUUAAAAGAUUAGAUUUUGUUUACUAUGUACUUGAGUUUUUGCUCACUUAAAGUGUUAUUGACUAUUGAGAUCGAAUUAAAGAAGUUUGCUUAUUUACGGAUAUUUACUUUUUUAUUCUGAAUUUCCUGCUCACAUUCUUGUUAUAGGUUUUGCCAUUUCAUUAUUCAAGCUUCUCUUUAUUCAUUAUUGAUUUUUAAUGACAACUCCUACACUUUGGUCUUUUUUCUUCAAUUCAUUCUUUAAGAAAGAAUUACUUUUUCCUUUCUCGUAUUCUCUCAACCUACUAUAUACAAGAGUCCGAAUACUCCCAAUGCUGAAUGCAUAAUUUCAAGCAAGAUAUACCUCAUGACUAAUAUUUUUAUCUACUAAAUCUUAAUGUGGGAUGCAUCUCUUCUCGGGUGAAUGAAAAUGUUGAGACCUUGUAUAGUGUUGAACCUAAAUAGAUCCUGCAUCGGAGCAGAUGAUGUCAAGUUCUCUUUGAGAUGAUGACAUAUAUUCUUGAUUUUGAAAGUGAUCAUAAUGAUCCGCAUUGAAACUUGCUAAAAAGACGCACAUGGUGUUUGUGUAAUUCUGUAAUUAAGCACACCUAGAGGGGGUAAAUAGGUGUAAAUACUCAAAAGUGAUAUACAGAGGCCAAUUUUUAAAGUUUACUAUAGCAGACUAUAAUCGGACGGUCUAACGGUUAUAAACGGAUAGCUAAUACCUGUCCUCUAGUCUAGUAGCCUUAAAGCUUAAAAACAGAAACACAAGAAAAGUAAAUUACACCGAGAUUUUUUACGUGGUUCAACCCCUAUCCUCUAGUCUAGUAGCCUAAUCCACGUCCAAUCCCAACUAGGAUUGGAGACUCACUUUAUUAAAAUAAUACUCAGCAAUUACAAAGUAAAUAACUCCCUGUUACAACGACGAUCGAUUGGACACCUCUGCCCCCUUUGCACCUCUGCAACACCUCUCACCUCUGAGACUUUGAUAGCUUCGUUGUACAGACUGAAUAUUACUAAAAUAAAAACCCCAAGCCAACCUAAACUUGUACUAUAUUUACAAUAGAUAUGAAAUAAGUCAAGAACACUGUAAACCAAGACUAAAAGAGUGAUAUGAUGAUUUGUGUGUAUCUUGGAUAGCUUUCUUGAAGAGUUUCUGUUCAGUAGUCUCUUGUGCUUCCAAUGCCGAGCUAAGCAGUAUAUAUAAAGUAGAGUAGAGCAACGGCUAUGUCAUCAACAUUCCAAUGCAACGGCUAUGUCAAAGUAAUGUUCUUAAUUUAAAUAGGAGAUAUCUGUUAGUUAAAAAAUCUCAACCUUCAAUAAACACUAACAGAUAAGAUAUAAGAUAGAGUCCAAAAUAGAUAGAGUUAAUGAAUAUUCAAAAUAUAGUAAAUAGAGUCCAAAUCUGUUAGUAUGAAAACAACUACUCUAUUUACUAUGAAAAAGGAAUCCUUAAUUAUACCAAUUCCUAAAAAAUCUCUAAGCCAAAUACGAAUUGGUAACCAAACAGAUAACAUAUAUAUAACCCAGCAAUUCAAAAAUAUGAGAUUUCUAGUUAUAUUAGAUUCCAUAAAAACUAAAGCACGUGGUAACCAUAUAUAUAUAUAUAUAUAACAGAUAACAUAUAUAUAUAUAUAUAUAUAUAUAUAUAUAUAUAUAUAUAUAUAUAUAUAUAUAUAUUGGAAAGAUAUAACCCAACUUGUUUUAGUCACUCUCCAUCCUGCAGUAAACUUUUAUGCCAUACAAAGUGAUUAUGAAAUCAAUCCAUGCAACAAUCCAUGCAAACUAUUAUAUAAUUAAUAUGUAACCCAAAUAAAUCAAAUAAGACCAUUACACAAACCCAAAUAUAUUGUCAUUAUUAAAAUCACAAAAGAUAUAAACCAACAUUCUCCCCCUUUUUGAUGAUGACAAUAUAUUAUCUUUUGAAUUUAUAUACUCCCCCUAUCUAUAAGGCUCCCCCUAAAUUUAUGCAUAUUAAGGAGCAAAAAAAAUGACUUGAUCCAAAUAACCAUCAUUGCAUAUAGUAUCUCACUACCAACAUGAAUUACAAUUCAAACCAAUUCAAAUACCAAAUAUCUCUCCCCCUUUGUCAUAAAAAAAAAUUAAUUCAUAUCAAUUUAGCAAGCUUAUAACAAAAUCACAUAUAACAAAUAAACAAAAUGAUCAUACAUUUGUGAUUUGUUACCUAUAUAUCAAUAUUGUUGUUACCAAUAGUAAACUUGCUAGAUGUGCUCAGAAGUUUUCAAUUUUGGAUUUUCAUAAUCAAAUCUCUUCAAAAACACUUCUUUUGAUCAUCCCAAUGUGGAGGUCACUUAUAAUCAAAUUUGGGGAAUGAUUUCUUACAAUUCGAGAUGAUCUAGGAAGCUUUGCAAUGGUCAUCUGUUCGUUAGAUUCAAAUUGUGAUAUAUCAAAUUCUGUAUCUGAUUUUUCUUCUAAAUCGGACGGGUCUUGCUGUUUGUUUUUCGGUGUCUGCAUGUCUGAGUUUUCUACUAAAACGGACGGGUUAGGCUGUCUGAUUUCAGCUGUCUUUCCUUCUGAUUCGGACGGCUUAGGCUGUCUGAUUUCAGCUGCCUUUCCAUCUAAUUCGGACGGCUUAGGCUGUUCGGAUUUAGCAGUUUGGCUUCUACGACUCAAAUUGUUAUUUCAGAUUCCGCCAAAUAAUUUAUAGAUAACUACUAUUCGUCUCCUUUUUGAUCUUGAGACAUCUACAAAAUGAACAAAUAGUCUCUACCUUGUUGGUACCCAAAUCUUCUUGGGUCCUUUUGGGUUAAUAGCAUAUAAAUCACAUUUUUUUACCCAAAUUUAUUUUAUUCUAAUUUUAUUACAAUUAGAAUCAAAAUGACCUUUAGAACCAUAUUUUUUACAAGUAACAAACGCUGAAUAAUAAAGUGGUUUAAACCUUGAUUUACUAUUAAUCAUUCUAAUAUUAUGAUUAGUUAUAUUUUUCACAUUUUUAAUAAGAUUAUACCCAAUUCCUUGUUUAUCAAGACUAAACCUUUGUGCUCCUAACAUAACAUUUAAAUUCUCUUCCCCUUGAACAAAUUUUGCAAGAUCCUUUUUCAAUGAAAUUAUUUCUUCCUCAUUAUUAUUUUGCAUGUUUAAUAUUUUCCCAUCAUUAAAAGCAUCAAUACAAGUAUCUCUCAUUUUCAAACUUUCUUUUAAAACAUCAUUUUCCUUUUUAAGAUCAUUGAAUUCUUCAUUUAAUUUGUUUGCACAAUUAUAUAGAAUUUUAUUAUAGUUAUUAAGAUAAUCAAUUUUAGCAUUUAACUCAGAUAUUUCACUUGAUGUGCAAUUUUAUCUAUUUCUUGUUUUUCUUCAAUUAAUGUUUCUACCGCUUUUAUUAAAUCAUUUAUCCAAUUUUUUAAAUGAGCAUUUUUGUCUUUAAUACGAAUAUUUUCAUUCUUUAAAACUUGAUAAUCAGAAAUAGUAAUAUCACCAAGUUCAGAGUUUACCUCGGAUGAUUCUUGAUUACAUAAUCCAGUGAAACACAGUUGAGCAGUUUCAUCUUCUUGUAUCGUUUCGGACUUACUCACUGGAGUUGAGCUACCUUUUUGAUUUUUCCUUUGUUUCUUCAUUUGAAGUAGUCUCUCGAGUUUUCUUGAAAGCAUUUCAAUUUUUUCAUCAAAAUCUUCGUGAUCACUUUCAUUAUUGCUCUCGACUUGAAGUGUUAAUGUUUUUUUUAUUGGUGCUUCAUCCUCUUUAUCAUACCUCUUUAGUUGAUUUUCGAAUUCUUCAAGCUCUCCAAACAAAGUUAGAGUUUCCAUCGAACUGAUUGUAGUCGAGUCUUGAAGAGUUGUAACCUUUGGUGCGAACCGUUUGGGCAUGACUCUAAGUAUCUUUCUAUUUAUCUCCCUUUGAUCAAUUUUCCGGCCGAGCAUACUUAGAGAGUUCAUAAGAGUGAGGAAUCUCCAUUGAGCUUCAUUAAUUGUUUCAUCCUUUUCUAACUUUUAUAGCUCAUAGUCUUGCAUUAGCAUACUUAACUUCACCUCUUUUACUUUGGAAGUACCUUCGUGGCUUGUCAUGAUAGUAUCCCACAUUUCUUUUGUUGUAUUGCAUGAUAAUACUUUAUCAAUUUCAGCUUGGACCAUUCCGCUUAGCAAGGUGUUCAUGGCUCUUGAGUUGUAAGAAAACAAGUAGCUUUCAUUUUCAUCCAUGUCCAUGAGAGUCUUGAGUCUACCAUCAUCAUGUCUAGGAAUAACAGGUCCAUUUUCAACUACCCACCAUUCUCAUGGGUCUCUUUUAAGAAAAAUAUUCAUUCUGAACUUCCAAAAGUUGAAGUUUUCGCUUCCUAUCAACAGAGGUGGUCGGCUUGUGGAUUAACCCAACUUGUUUUAGUCACUCUCCAUCCUGCAGUAAACUUUUAUGCCAUACAAAGUAAUUAUGAAAUCAACCCAUGCAACAAUCCAUGCAAACUAUUAUAUAAUUAAUAUGUAGUCCAAAUAAAUCAAAUAAGACCAUUACACAAACUCAAAUAUAUUGUCAUUAUUAAAAUCAUAAAAGAUAUAAACCAACAGUUUGGUGAUCUAGAGGCUUUAGUUAAGUAAGUCGAGUAGCAACCGACUCACUCAAAAUACAUGGUAGGUGAAACAAAUCGGGUCAAACCUCAAUCCGGAACAAAUCUAGGGUCAAAUUCCAAAUCCGAAUCGAAUCAAAUCCAUCUAAAUAAGGCCUUAAACCAUUAGCAUCCUUAUAUACAGACAAUUUUUUCCUUCUCUAGCUAUUGUGGAAUAAUACCGGUUAGUUUCGUGUCCCCACCUCCAGAUCACCCUCUCUCUAUUGUGGGAUAAUACCACCAUCUUUCGUGUUCCCACCUCCAGUAACCUGAUUGGAUGACCCGACCUGAGCUUUCGAGAGUCGGCUCUAAACAAAUCUCGGUUCAAAUCUCAAGUCCGAAUCUAAUCAAAUCCAUCUAAAUAAGGCCUUAAACCACUAACACAAUAAUAUCUUAUUGUUAGUAAAGUGAAUGGAUACUAUAUAUAUAUAUAUUAACUUAUCUCAAAACUGUAAAAUUUAAUUUGUCAAGGCUAGUACUUAGUACUUGAUACUAUGUCCUUAAGACAAUUAUAUCCUCUGUACGGUGCUCGGAGUUGAUAACACUUGUCUCCCAUGAUACAAUAACUACGUAUACUAUAGUAGCACUCCAAAUAGUAUACUCAACGAACCAAAAUAAAUGCUCUGAUUCUCUUUUAAAAAUAAACUAACUGACUUAUGAAAUGAAGAAUAGUAAAAGACUAGAAUGCUUGAAUGCUUGUGAAUUUAAUGAAUUCGAAUGGCAGCACCCCCAUCUAUUUAUAGGAGGGUUAGUGACCCAUCAGAAAGGACACAACCCACUGAAAAGGUACAAUUAAGUCAAAAACGACGUAGUUUUUGGCUUUAACAGAAAGGGUGCGUCCGUUCGUGAUAAGAACAACGUAGUUUAGGCUUAGCAGAAUAAGGCGCGUACAAGGACCCAGAACCUUGAACCAAAAACGACGUAGUUUUGGGGCGUCCGUUCAGACAUAUAGUGCUUCCCAAAACGACGCAAUAUUAACGCGUCCAUUCGGCAGAUAACGCUUUCAAAAACUACACAGUGUUGAUAAUAAAUAACAUUUAUCAAUACGACACAGUUUUGAUAAUAGAACUAAAUAAAUAAAAUUUUAAAUAAAAUUUUUAAAUAAAUUUUGUCCAAAAAAUUAUGUACAAGGACCCAGAACCUUGAACCACGAGCCCGUGCACGAGUCAGGCCAGGCCGACCAGUCGGUCGGUCAGUCGGCAGCGCGCGUGUGGAUUCAAACCAAGCCUUGGCUAGGUCAUCUCCCUUCCACAAAAUUGGGGUGCCUCUUGGAGUCCAAACUCAAGAGCAACUUUCUUGUAUAUAAACAUAUUAAAUUUUUAGUUUUUAACCGAUGUGGGACUUAGCUUCCCACAUUUAUUUAUUAUCAUUUCUAAGAGUGAUCUUUGGGAGUUAAUAUCUCAUUUAUUACUCUAUAGAUUUGACCUUCCAAAUACUUAAUUUAAUCUACUCAUGGAGUAGAAUACAUUAAUAUGUGGAUUCACUCUAAAUAGUUAAUAAAACCCACUUUAAUUUUGGCUCAAAUUCUAACGAUUCUUAGGUCAUCUUAGCCCACCACAGACUCAUUUAAAAGGUCAUGACCGAAGGUGUUAUUGUUAAUAACUUAAUUCCUUAUAUACAGAAAAAAAUUUCUCAUACCUUUUGAUGUGGGACUGGGGUGUUGCAGUAGGUGCUGCACCAUUGGAACCAUUCCACAAAGCAUGCCAAAAGCUCAAAAGUUUAUUCUAGUGAUGUUGGUGAAAGUCAAAAGUACACGCACUCUGCUGCACAACGGAGGGAGUUUUGCCGAAAUGUGCUGAUAACAGGAAUCAUAACAUUUCAUCUCUUGUCACUAUUAAGCCUGAAACAUUACCCUUCCAAGAUUGUUGAAUUGUAAAACCUGACUUUUCAGUCUAAAGAUACUGGCUUUCCUAUGGUGGAUUAGUGGUUCUAAGUUCUUCUAUUUGAUCAGACUUUCCAAUAACCUAAGAAGGUCCUGUAUCAGAAGGACUCUUUUUGUGGAAUGAAGGGAGUAUGUCAGAUGUCAGAGUAUAUCAAUAUUACCAAGUACAAUAUUGUUUUUUCUAAAAUUAAUAUAUAUUCAUAUCAAAGUAACUCAGAUCAAACUCAAAUUGGACUCUUUGUGGAAUGGAGGAAGUAUAUAAUAUUAUAUAUCAAACCCUUGCACUGCUUUACUUUGCCCGUCACAUACUCGAUCUAGAAGGACCUUUAGUUUGGUUUAUACUGUAAGAAUCAUCAUAAUGCCACAAAAGCCCGUCACCUUCUCUCGCUUUGUUCAUACUUCAUUCGAUGGCCCUUGCUCUAUUUCCAAGGCCAAGAGCCAGAUUCGUAACUCCAAAACUUGUAGAAAAAUUUCUCCCACCACUUCAAGUAACUAUAAAGCAAUAAAUUAUUCUACAAGUGAUGUACCUUUCUACCUAAAGUAUUUUCUGUUUAUUUUUUGGUAUGGUCUUACUCAGUCAGACUAACUGCUACUGUUGUUUAGUUUCUUUGAUAUCAAUCCUAAAGUGAUUCUAUUUACAAAAUGCUUUCUAGGUAAGGAGUUUGUACAUGUUGCCAUGGAUGAUAAGAGUAAACUGCAUAAAUCUUUUGAUGAUGAAAAAAUCCAAGUAAGCUAAUUAUUAAAAAACUAUAAUCACAAAUGACCCAUUGAGAUUCAAUUUUUGUAUCAUAGUUGUUUCAGUCGCUCAGAUUUAUUCCAUGACUUACUUGGGAUUUAUAAUUACAAUCACGAACAUUUACUUUUCAUUUUUCCUUGCCUUGGGGCUUAAAAUGAUGUUCACUUGUAUAUCACUUUUCUUUAUUUAUCUUAUUUUCUUGUUAUGAAUUUCAGAAGAUGUUUACUUGUGUAUUUACCUAUUGCUGUUCUCCUUUCUGAAGCUGACAGAAGAACUCCGACAAUCUUAUGCUUUAAGUAUUAUCUGUUGCUGUUGGUCAGUAAGACAUGCAUGGUAAAAACAUUUUACCCUUCUGUUUGUAUUUUUUAAUAUUGAUUUCCAUCUAAUUCACACUUGGGCAUGACAUUUUUUUUGUCCUUCCCGUUUAUACGUUAACCUAUAGCAUUAUUUAACAGGUUUCCAUAGUUUUACUCUCCUGUUAUCUUGAUACUACACUAUACAGAGGAUUCUUGUUGAAGGAUGCCUAUUUUUUUGCUUGGCACUUACAGGCACAAAGAUUUAUUUCGAUCACGAUCUUCCUGAUUUCUGUAGUAGAAAAAUUUUGUAUGGUAUUUUACCUUUUGUUUCAUAAUUGGACCCAAUUAAUUUGCCGUGAAACUAGUUUUCUAAAUUGGGUUGAAGAUAAAGGUUUUCUUAGUUAUUGAAGUAGUAUAUUUUACGUCUGUUAUAUAUUUUGUCCCAUGUUUGUAGAUUCUGGGAGGACCAUUAACGUCCUCGGGAAAAAAUAAAUCUUCAUCUACCC